rnacentral:rRNA from 1 species
AUUGAACGCUGGCGGAAUGCUUUACACAUGCAAGUCGAACGGUAGAGGGGGCAACCCCUCGAGAGUGGCGAACGGGUGAGUAAUAUAUCGGAACGUGCCCAGUCGUGGGGGAUAACGUAGCGAAAGUUACGCUAAUACCGCGUACGAUCUACGGAUGAAAGCGGGGGACCGUAAGGCCUCGCGCGAUUGGAGCGGCCGAUAACCAAUUAGGUAGUUGGUGGGGUAAAGGCUCACCAAGCCAACGAUCUGUAGCUGGGCUGAGAGGACGACCAGCCACACUGGAACUGAGACACGGUCCAGACUCCUACGGGAGGCAGCAGUGGGGAAUUUUGGACAAUGGACGCAAGUCUGAUCCAGCCAUUCCGCGUGCAGGAUGAAGGCCCUCGGGUUGUAAACUGCUUUUGUACGGAACGAAAAGGUUUCCAUUAAUACUGGGAGCUCAUGACGGUACCGUAAGAAUAAGCACCGGCUAACUACGUGCCAGCCGCCGCCGUAA